CAAGAAGUAAACCAGUGUGAAAAAGCUGGGCGAAAGGAAUCAGCACCCGCCUACGGAAACAAAUCGACCCCUCGCCUAACCUACCCCAACUGGCUCUACCGAUCUUUGCCGCUUCACUUCCCCCGAGGAGUGGCCACUAAUCGCCGUUCCGGCCGGCCCGCCUCUACCGCCCGCUGCUCGGAGGACGCCGCUCUUCCGCACGAAGUGACCCUGCCAAUAUCCCCCCCUACAACCAGACCUCUCCUCGAGCUGCUUGGAAAGGGUAGCACGAGCGGUAGUUUUUCGAGUGCAGACAUCGCUUCGAAUAUCAGCGGCCGCGCCCGCGUUCUAGUGAGGUACAUUACGUUCCUAACCUCCGUUAAACACGAAAGUCCAUUGUCUCGCCGGGUGUAUACAACAACUCGACUUCUUUCCCGAGUGUAGGUACCGCUAUUGGCCCUCUCGAAGUGACCCCAUGCUCGAAAUUCUCCCUAUAAACCAAGUAAAGUUGUACCUACCGAACCACGGUCGCUCCAACUGCUUCGGUACCUGAGACGGCACAAGUGAUUCAGGUAACUGUACUUGCUUGUACUCGAAAAGUUCGAAAAACAGGAAAACUGCAAGUCAGAACAAUGCACUCCCACGGAAAACAAGUGGCGUACUGGUUCUGAUUGUAGCUAGUUAUCUGCUACAUGUAGUAGGGAAACAGUCUAAUAAAACAAGUAAAAAGGAAGUAAUAAACAUCAUUUAAAUAAAACAUAAAUCGAAAAUAUACAGAGGUAUGCAUUUCAAUUUAUUUAGGCAAAUAGAGUAAAAAGUACACAAAAUA
rnacentral:rRNA from 1 species